UCGAGCGGAGAGAGGUAGCUUGCUACCGAUCUUAGCGGCGGACGGGUGAGUAAUGCUUAGGAAUCUGCCUAUUAGUGGGGGACAACAUUUCGAAAGGAAUGCUAAUACCGCAUACGUCCUACGGGAGAAAGCAGGGGAUCUUCGGACCUUGCGCUAAUAGAUGAGCCUAAGUCGGAUUAGCUAGUUGGUGGGGUAAAGGCCUACCAAGGCGACGAUCUGUAGCGGGUCUGAGAGGAUGAUCCGCCACACUGGGACUGAGACACGGCCCAGACUCCUACGGGAGGCAGCAGUGGGGAAUAUUGGACAAUGGGCGCAAGCCUGAUCCAGCCAUGCCGCGUGUGUGAAGAAGGCCUUAUGGUUGUAAAGCACUUUAAGCGAGGAGGAGGCUACUUUAGUUAAUACCUAGAGAUAGUGGACGUUACUCGCAGAAUAAGCACCGGCUAACUCUGUGCCAGCAGCCGCGGUAAUACAGAGGGUGCAAGCGUUAAUCGGAUUUACUGGGCGUAAAGCGCGCGUAGGCGGCUAAUUAAGUCAAAUGUGAAAUCCCCGAGCUUAACUUGGGAAUUGCAUUCGAUACUGGUUAGCUAGAGUGUGGGAGAGGAUGGUAGAAUUCCAGGUGUAGCGGUGAAAUGCGUAGAGAUCUGGAGGAAUACCGAUGGCGAAGGCAGCCAUCUGGCCUAACACUGACGCUGAGGUGCGAAAGCAUGGGGAGCAAACAGGAUUAGAUACCCUGGUAGUCCAUGCCGUAAACGAUGUCUACUAGCCGUUGGGGCCUUUGAGGCUUUAGUGGCGCAGCUAACGCGAUAAGUAGACCGCCUGGGGAGUACGGUCGCAAGACUAAAACUCAAAUGAAUUGACGGGGGCCCGC
rnacentral:rRNA from 1 species